rnacentral:rRNA from 1 species
GGGGAAUUUUGGACAAUGGGGGCAACCCUGAUCCAGCCAUCCCGCGUGUGCGACGAAGGCCUUCGGGUUGUAAAGCACUUUUGGCAGGGAAGAAACAGCCUGGGCUAAUAUCCCGGGCGACUGACGGUACCUGCAGAAUAAGCACCGGCUAACUACGUGCCAGCAGCCGCGGUAAUACGUAGGGGGCAAGCGUUGUCCGGAUUUACUGGGUGUAAAGGGUGCUCAGGCGGAUUUGUAAGUCAGAGGUGAAAUCUUACAGCUUAACUGUGAAACUGCCUUUGAUACUGCAAGCCUAGAGUAUGGAAGAGAGUGAUGGAAUAUCUGGUGUAGCAGUGAAAUGCGUAGAUAUCAGAUAGAACACCAAUGGCGAAGGCAGUCACUUGGUCCAUUACUGACGCUAAAGCACGAAAGCGUGGGUAGCAAACA